rnacentral:lncRNA from 1 species
AAAAGGAGUUGAGAUAGGCCUAGAGAAGUUAGAGUGUAAUAAGAGAGUGUGCUCAUGUUGGAUUAGAUGUUGAAUUGAGUGCUAGUUGUGUUUCUUUUGGCUAUGAGCUCCCACCUUCAACCCUCUCUCCCUAUGAGUUCUAGAAAGUUCACUUGUGGACAAGUAAAAGAACAAGUUUGGGGGAGUUGAUAUCUUGCAUAUUUCCAUUGCUUUAUCCAUUCACCCAUGUGCAUUUUGAUCAUAUAGAUUAUGAUUUAGCCAUGUUUAGGUUGCAUUUUGCAUACAUGAGUCUUUAUCAGGUAUUGGAGUACCACAUGGAGUUCUCGGAGACAUU